rnacentral:rRNA from 1 species
AUUGAACGCUGGCGGCAGGCUUAACACAUGCAAGUCGAGCGGAGAUGAGGUGCUUGCACCUUAUCUUAGCGGCGGACGGGUGAGUAAUGUUUAGGAAUCUGCCUAUUAGUGGGGGACAACAUUCCGAAAGGAAUGCUAAUACCGCAUACGUCCUACGGGAGAAAGCAGGGGAUCUUCGGACCUUGCGCUAAUAGAUGAGCCUAAGUCGGAUUAGCUAGUUGGUGGGGUAAAGGCCUACCAAGGCGACGAUCUGUAGCGGGUCUGAGAGGAUGAUCCGCCACACUGGGACUGAGACACGGCCCAGACUCCUACGGGAGGCAGCAGUGGGGAAUAGUGGACAAUGGGGGAAACCCUGAUCCAGCCAUGCCGCGUGUGUGAAGAAGGCCUUAUGGUUGUAAAGCACUUUAAGCGAGGAGGAGGCUGCUGAGACUAAUACUCUUGGAUAGUGGACGUUACUCGCAGAAUAAGCACCGGCUAACUCUGUGCCAGCAGCCGCAGUAA